UACGUAGGGUGCAAGCGUUGUCCGGAAUUAUUGGGCGUAAAGAGCUCGUAGGCGGUUUGUCGCGUCGAAUGUGAAAACCCGGGGCUCAACCCCGGGCCUGCAUUCGAUACGGGCAGACUAGAGUUCGGUAGGGGAGACUGGAAUUCCUGGUGUAGCGGUGAAAUGCGCAGAUAUCAGGAGGAACACCGGUGGCGAAGGCGGGUCUCUGGGCCGAUACUGACGCUGAGGAGCGAAAGCGUGGGGAGCAAACAGG
rnacentral:rRNA from 1 species